AGGACUGUGGCACAGUGGUAGAGCCUCUGCCUUGCAAACAUAAGACCACAGGUUCAGUCCCUGGCAUCUCUG